ensembl:ncRNA C24H11.11 ncRNA
UUUGAUAGACGACAACAAGAAGACGUUGGUGGUGGUUGUAGGAAAGACGACAUCUUCGGGGCCUCAAAAGUGCCUCUUCGAAACGACGACACCCCAACAAGUCCCCAAGGGCCGCCCGGAAAUGCGCCGCGCGUCGCUUCCUUCU